UACGGAGGGUGCAAGCGUUAUCCGGAUUUACUGGGUUUAAAGGGUGUGUAGGCGGACUUUUAAGUCAGCGGUGAAAUCUCCGGGCUCAACCCGGAAACUGCCAUUGAUACUAUUUGUCUUGAAUGUUGUUGAGGUGGGCGGAACGGGUCAUGUAGCGGUGAAAUGCAUAGAUAUGACCCGGAACACCGAUUGCGAAGGCAGCCCACUAAGCAACGAUUGACGCUGAGGCACGAAAGCGUGGGGAUCAAACGGG
rnacentral:rRNA from 1 species